GUCAGCGCGCGUGCUCCGUGCGGGAUGCUGAAUUGUUGGUGAUGAUGGCGGAAGGGGAGCGACGCUGAGUUCCAUCCGAGUUUUUACCCCAGCUGUAAAAACCACCCACAACCACCGUUUCUCUCCGUCGAGACCUAUCCCGAGGCAAUGGGGAACGAGGCCAGCAUGGAGGGGGAGGGACAGGCGGGACAGCCCGGCGCCGCCGUCCCUGCAGCGGGGGCUCCGACUUCCAUUUCAGCACCACCGGACUCUGGACAGCUCAUCAAGCCCAGCAAUGGAGCGCCAGCCGGAGGAAGUGGGGCUGCGUCCGGGCCAGGGAUUAACAGACCACCUCCAUCAGACCCUGGGCCUAAAGCAGGAAUGCAGAGCACCCACGGGACAGGCGACAGGUUGGCCUCCCACGAUGCCAGUCAACAUGCUGCGCCUCCAGGAGGCCAGGGCCAGGGACAUGUGGCCAGGAAGAAUCUGCAGGUUGACUUGGGUGCCGGCAGAACUGGAAGGUCCCCUUCUGUGUCCCCGGACCGUGGAAGCGUCCCAACCUCCCCUUAUUCUGUGCCUCAAAUUGCUCCGAUGCCCAGCAGCAAACUGUGUCCUGUCUGCAAAACCACCGACCUUAUGGGCACUGGAGACGACAAGCCUAACUCCAACACCUGCACUCAGUGUCGCUCCAUGGUGUGCACCCAGUGUGGCUUCAACCCCAACCCUCACCUCACAGAGGUGCAAGAGUGGUUAUGUCUGAACUGUCAGAUGCAGAGAGCACUGGGGAUGGAUAUGACCACGCCACGCUCCAAGAGUCAGCAGCAGAUCCACUCUCCUUCUCAUCCAACCCCCCCUGAGCCCAAACCUGAGCCCAAACCUGAGCCCAAACCUGAGCCUGCACCUCAGCCACAGCCCACUCCUCAGAAACAGCCUGUAGCUCAGGCCCAUCCAGGGCCUGGCCCUACCAAACAGCCUAUUACAGGUGGCCCCAGUCAUCAACAACCCAAACUGCCUCCAGGGGCGGUACCUCUCCCGGGCAUGGCCAAGGCUCCAUCCCAACCGGACCUCUCUCGAGGUUCGCCCGCCCACCAGCCCCAUCACCCCCGCCAAGAUCAGACUCGCAGUGCAGGAAGCUCCCCAUCACGACAGCCCCCACCUCCAGAGCAGACGUUUGGAAAGCUGUUUGGCUUUGGCGCCUCCCUUCUAAACCAGGCCAGCACUCUCAUAUCUGAGACCACUCAACCGCAGCAGCAGCAGCAGCAGCAGCAGCAGCAGCAACAGCCCCCAAAACCAGCUCCCAAACCUGGUGGGCCCCCUGGUCCAGGACCCGGAGCAGGUAAACCUUCGGCUCAACCUGCGCAACAAGGGCCCCAGGCCGCGCCUCAGCAACAACGACAUGCUCCUCCUGAGUCUUCUAAGCCCAAAGCUUCCUGUCCUCUCUGUAAGACAAACCUUAACAUUGGCAACGUGGCUGAGGAACCCAACUACAAUACCUGCACACAGUGCCACUCCCAGGUGUGCAACAUGUGUGGAUUCAAUCCCACUCCACACCUACUUGAGAAGAAAGAAUGGCUCUGCUUAAACUGCCAAACACAGCGGGCUCUGUCGGGAAGCUUGGGCGAUAUUCCGCCUCCUGUAGCCCCCUCCACGGGAUCUCCUCGAGCGCCUGCUCCAUCCAAACAACAAACACCUCAGCAGAAAGCACCCAGUCAAGUUUCAGGACCUAGGACAACAGGUCCUCACCAACAGAAAGCUGCGGGUCCCCAAGUAAGUGGCCCUCCCUCUAACGUGAAACAGGCUGGGCCUGCCCCUCAAUCAAAGGGGCUCAGUCAACCCCACUCUCAAACCAAGGGUUUCACUCAGCCACCCUCCCAACCUAAGAGUCAAACACAACCUUCCUCUCAGAGCAAGGGGCCAGCUCAAGUUAAAGGUCCCAGCCAGUCACAUGCUCAAAAUAAGCCCCCUGCACAGCCUGCUAACCAAGUGAAGGGCCCAAGUCAGGCCAAAGGGCCGACUCAGACAAAAGGAUCUGCUCAGCCCUCUGCUCAGACUAAGGGCCCUUCUCAUCCUUCUGGUGCCAAGGUUUCAUCUGGCUCUGGUAAAGUUGCUCCUAACCAUACCAAGGCUUCUACCCCUUCAAAACCAGUCCCCACUCAGUCUAAACCCACAGGUAACAACCAGCUGCGCAAACAGCCGCAAGGCCAGGACAAGACUAAAGUCACCUCUAGAUCUCUAAAAGAAGAUUCCAAAGUCUCCCAGAAGAAGGCUUUGUCAGAGACUGUGACUUCACCACACGAGAUCAAGAUAGCUGAAGAAGAAAACAAGUCAAGACACCAUGAAGACUCCAAUAAAUCAAGUACCCAGAGCUUAAGUGACACUGGAUACUCUUCAGAUGGGAUCUCCAGCUCACAAGGGGAGAUUGCAGGUCAGAUCCGAGAAGAGGGAAUCAAGCUUAAUGAACGAGGUGCUUCCAUCCCUUCAGACAUCAACAAAUUAGAGAGCUCUAUGAAACCUCUGCUUGAAUCAAAAACUGCCUCAGACCCAAAGUAUAGACCACAUUCGCUUUCUGUGGGUCAAGAGCGAAACUACAGUCCUGAUGAAGAAGCAGCAAGGGAUGAAUCAGAGGAUGACCUCAGUUGUAAACUUCGCCAUGAUUAUGUGGAAGACAGCAGUGAAAGUGGUCUGUCACCCUUGCCAAUAAGACAGAAGAAGUCCCAUAAAGAAUUAACAGAUGAAGAAUACAUGAGGAGGCAGAUUAUGGAGAUGAGUGCUGAUGAAGAAGAACUAGAAGAAUAUGGAAACCAGAAAACCAAAAAGACGCAUAAACCCAGUGGAGAUUCGAGCAAAGAGAGAAGGCGACUCUCACAUCAGUCAAAUAGUUUUGAAGAAGAUAAAAAAGUAUCUGAAGGUGCUUAUAAAGCAAAUGAAGAGGAAGAUGUUGUUAUGGCUGGAGGCCUUCGACGAUUUAAGACUAUCGAGCUGAAUAACACCAACAGCUACAACCGAGAAAUUGAGCUCAGUAAUGAGCAUGACCUACGAGAACCAGAACUCGAAAUGGAGAGUCUGACUGGUUCGCCAGAGGAGAGAUCAAAGGGUGAUUAUUCAUCCACACUACCUGCCACCACACCCAGUUACACUUCUGGAACAUCACCCACCUCUGUGUCAUCUAUGGAGGAUGACAGUGACAGCAGUCCUAGUAGAAGAGCACGACUUGAAGAGGCAAAGCAGCAGAGGAAAGCUCGACAUCGGUCCCAUGGGCCUCUGCUCCCCACAAUUGAAGACUCCUCUGAGGAGGACGAACUCAGAGAGGAAGAAGAACUGCUAAGGGAACAGGAGCAGAUGAGAGAUCUUGAGCAACAGAGGAUUCGAAGUACAGCUCGGAAAACAAAACGAGACAAAGAAGAGCUGCGGGCACAAAGACGCAGAGAACGGUCCAAAACUCCCCCCAGUAAUCUUUCCCCUAUUGAGGAUGCAUCACCAACAGAGGAGUUGAGACAGGCAGCAGAGAUGGAGGAGCUUCAUAAAUCAUCAUGCUCUGAAUACUCACCUUCCAUGGACUCAGAAGCUGAAGGUUUUGAGAUAAUUGGUGGAAAACUUUACAAAUCAGGAAAUGAAUUUAACCUUCCAACCUUCACUUCACUCUAUUCACCAACAGAUAAGACAUCAACACCAUCUGAUAAAACCUUAAAGAGUGCAGAAGAGGUAUAUGAAGAGAUGAUGAGAAAAGCACAACUCAUGCAGAAACAGGGACAAAAGGGGUCCUCUCAGCCAGAUAGUGGCCAUCAUCUCGAUGCUGGAACCUCCCUAACACCUGGCUCAAGCCCAACACAAGUUACUGCACCCUUAUCCUUCUCCGGCAGUGAUUCAAGAAUGGCAGGCAUGCAUGCUGCACAGCAUCUAUCAAAAGAAACGCAAAACAGAAUGAUGACACAGAGUGCCAAAAUUGAAGGAGUUGUUGGAGUAGCCACUACUAAAGCUCAAAUUAGUCAGGGAACCUCAGCUCGGCAGACAGGAAGCACGGCGGCUGUUGGCAACAAAGCAGGUCUGCAGAGACCAACACAAGCAACACCUGACCCUGGAUCAUCUUCUUUGACCUCCAAAGUUUUUUCUCUUUUUAAAGGACCCAGCCCUCCAGUCUCCCCUACAACAUCUCCAACACAAAGUCCAACACAUUCUCCAUCUGUUCGACCCACUAGCAGUAGUGGCAGGCAGCUACCAACCUUGCCUUCUGGUGCCACAACAGCUCCAGCCUCCCAUGGUGCACAGGCACCUCAAAGGACAAUGUCACCUCGUCUUGUACGACAGCAGUCAUCCCAAGAUUCACCUGUAAUGGUCAUAACCCUAGGCUCUGAAAAGUCCAGCCCCACUAAGCCAAUUACCGUAAACUCAUCCACUUCCCCCUUAUCGUCACCGACACAGGCCAAUUGUAAAACCUUGUAUAGCUCACAGCCCCCUUCAACAAGUUCCCCAACAUCACCUCAAAAGCAUUCAUCUCAACAGCUAAAACAUUCUUCCCCAACGUAUAUUGAAAAGGUAAAUGUUGGUGUCAGUGCUGGGACCACAAGUGCACAAGGUCGUGCUUCAAAAGUUGUGGGACAAAGUCAAACACAGCAAAGCACAACUGUUGUAGAUCUGAGAGCUCCAGCAAGACCAGCUCCAAUUAUUAUGACAGAUCAAGGAAUGGAUCUAACCUCCCUCGCUUCUGACACAAGAAGAUACUCUCUAGGAGCCGAGCAGUCCUCAAGUAGACACACAGCAGUGCAGCCUCUUAUUAUGAACCUCAAUGCACAAGAGCAACCACAUGUUUCUGUAUCAACCCCAACAACAGUAAGUGUCACAGUUGCAGGGUCAACGUUCAUGUCUCAAUCCAAACAACCUGUUGUAUAUGGAGACCCAUUACAGAACCGUGUGGAUCUGGGGCAGGGUGUUGGAUCUGCUGUUUGUUUAUCACAAAGUAAAACACCAAUUUCUGAUCCAUCCAUACCCAAAAUUGAUGCCUGUCUAGAAAAUCUUGGCAUACAGCAGCAACAACUGCAGUUGCAGCAGCAGAAACUCCUCCAGCAGCAGCAGCUUCUUGAACAACAGCUCCAGCAGCACCAACAACAGUCCUCUUUUGCUCGAUAUAAUUUAGCCAAUCAGGUACAGCCACCGCUGAUGAAAAAAGACCUUGUAGUGACACAGACAAGCGGUGGGCAGCCUGUGGUGACUGUUAGUGCAAUACCUAGAGUUUCUCCUCUUGCUCCACCAUCAGUAACUUCUAAUGUAUCCCUUGAAAUGUAUGGUGGAGUUGCCUUAGAACUAAAAAAUAAGCCAACAGUGAUAAACCUGUCAACAGGAAAACCCCAUAUUAUGAUGGUACAACUUGAUGAGAGUAACACAUCAAAAAGUGGGACAAUGACUCAGCUGGUUAAGCGAGAGGAGCAGCCCCCUGCCCCACCACCUCCUCCUCAGGUUUUGGAUCUAACUGGGCAGCUUAAACAAGAAAACCAAGUGGCUUGCUGUGAUGUUGUUUACAAAUUACCAUUUGCUGGUACCUGUCCAGGAACAUUCUCUCAGAAGCCAUCAACAGUGUCCUCAGAUAAAAGUCUCACUGAAACUUCUCAAGCAGCACACUCUCCUCAGCCACCACACUACAUUGUUAGCCAGGAGCAACAACAACAACACCAGCCUCAGGUUACGCAAGGACUACCCGAGGAACACAAACUAUAUCCACCAGCUAUGGGCUCUUUGGGGAGAUUGCAGCCCUCUAUGUCUGAUACUAAUCUGCCUUCUACUAGUGAUGCUGGUCCCUAUCAGAAUAAUCUCCAGGGGGGUCUUGCUGUAGAUCUCAGCAGUAUGAAUCAAGGUUAUGAUGGUGGAUACCUUGGCAUGGGGGCACAGUAUGGAUCUUACACAGACUUGCGUCACCAGGGGGAUUUUACAGGACCUUCAUUACCCAUUCGUAGAUAUGGCUCCAUGUCAAAUAUCAACUCUGAUUAUGCCAGUGGUUCACGUGAUCUCACAGGAUCACAAGACUCCAAUCUGGCUCAGUACAGUGCAACUACUGCUAGGGAGAUUAGUCGUAUGUGUGCAGCCCUUAACACUGUCGACCAGUUUGGAAGCCGUUUUGGAAAUAACCCUGAACUGGCAGCAUAUGGAGCUGGAAGAGGUGGACCUUUAGCUAGGUUGAAUAUCCAACAAAGCCUGGCAUCAAUAAGGGCAAAUUUGCUUUAUGGGCCAGAUAGCAGGCAAGCUAUGAAUGGCCAAGCCCUAACAAAUCUAAUCAAUGCAAGACAAGCAAGUAUACGCGCCUUGUACCCCACUGCUAUGAGAGGUGGUGAUGGCAUGAUAUAUUCCACCAUUAACACUCCCAUAGCUUCAACCUUGCCAAUUACUACACAACCUGCCCCUGUUAUUCGUCCCAUGCCAAGAGGAAUUUACAGACCCUACCCUACAGGUGUAACUGCUGUACCUCUGGCUAGUCUCACUAGAUUGCCUCAGAUGACUCCCAGAAUGCCUCUGUCCACACAAGGCCCAUAUUCCUAUCCCCCUCCAAAUCAGUAUCCUUCAUCUGUCACACCAACAGGAAGUGCUGCUGUAUUAAGUAGCUCCCAACAGGAAAAUCCAAUGUACCUUGGGAAGUCUUUAACGACAAUAUCUGGAGCAGCGGGUACCAGCAUUCCACCAACCCCACCUGCAGCACACUUGGGAGCACAAAAUGUUCCUGCACCUGGUAUUCAAACCACAACAGAACAGAAAAUAGACCAAUCUCAAUUUACUUCACAAAGUAUUGCAUCUCUCUCACAAGCUCAAGGCCAGCCUUCAACAGCCCAACAGGCUAGAAUGCAGAUGCAGCAAUUGCCUACACAGACAGAACCUUUAUCUUUGACCCAAAUCCAACCUCAAACACAACCACUCAGUCAGCCUCAGUCUGUAGUUCUCUCUCAGGACCAGACACAAGCUGAAACUACCCAGGCAUCAAGUUCCAAAUUAUCCCCUCCCACUGAUGCACAAAAAAACAAAGAAGAAGAGAAGCUAAAUCAGCAACAAGAACAACUGCUACAGCUAGAGAGAGAACGGGUUGAAUUAGAAAAACUUAGGCAGUUGCGCCUGCAAGAGGAGCUCGAAAGAGAUCGAAUGGAGCUUCAACGUCACAGAGAAAAAGAACAACUGCUUGUUCAACGUGAGAUCCAAGAACUGCAGACAAUAAAACAACAAGUCCUACAACAACAGCAAGCAGAGAGGGAGACACAACUUAUAAUGCAAAGAGAACAGUUGGCCCAGCAAAGAAUGCAGCUUGAGCAAAUUCAGACUCUGCAGCAGCAGCUUCAGCAGCAAUUGGAGGAGCAGAAGAGGCAAAAGACAGUGGCAGUUGAAGCAGCGGCAGCAGCUGCAGCUGCUGAGGCAGCUGCAGCAUCAGCUGCAGCCGUAGCUGCAGCUACAUCAGCCCAGAGUGCCAUCCACGGGGUAGUUGUUGGAGCAGGGGCCCCUCAAGGGGUUAUAUUCUGUGAUCAGACAGGUAGAGUGAUUCAGCAAGAUGGGCAGAGUGUGCAGUUUUGGCAGGAUGGACAAGUUGUCCAAGCAGUGGUGGCUUCUCGACCCAUUCAUAGCUCCACCUCAGAAAUGUCUUUGAGAAGCAGUGACAAGCAGGCUGAUUCUAAGAUUAUGAAAAAGCAGAAUUCCAUGCCUCGUCUGAGGGAUGGUUCAGAAGAGGACUCUGUCAAAAGGAUUACAGACAGCUGUGUGCAAACAGAUGAUGAGGAUGGUGAAGAAAGGUACAUGAAUAGGCGUAGGAGAACAAGGCGCAUUGCAGACUGCAGUGUACAGACUGACGAGGAAGACCAGGGAGAAUGGGACCAACAGCCAGUAAGGCGCAGACGGUCUCGUGUGUCCAAGCACUCUGAAUCUAGUGGCGAGGCGAAAUCUGAUGGCUCUUCCAAAGUGGUUUCUGCAAGUAUAGCUAUUCAGACCACUAAUGACUCAUCAUGUCAAACAGAAUCAGACCUACUUGGCAGAGUUUCACCUGCAAUCCACAUUACUAUGGCAGAGACCUCAAAAGUUGAUCUGUUGCAUUAUAUAGCAGCUCCGGAAAGAACUCACAAAGGCGAGAGUCUAGCCUGCCAGACAGAACCAGAAUCACAUUCUCAGGGAGUAGUUGCCCCUCAGCUGAGUGUCCCUACAACUAUUAGCCCGUACUCGACAAGUCUCCAUAUAGUAGGUGGAAAUACAUCUGACACAACUUCUCCCAGACUCCAAGGAGUUGCUAAAUUUGAAAGGAGGAAGCCAGAUCCUCUGGAAAUCGGCUAUCAUCAACAACAAAAUGAGUCUUCAUCUCGCCAACCCCCCAAAUCUCCCCAAGUACUGUACUCCCCAGUUUCUCCUUUAUCUCCUCAUCGGAUGUUGGAGACAACUUUCGCCUCCCAGGAAAAGCUUAACAAGGCCCAUGUUACGCCCCAGCAGAAGGCCUUCACUACUGAAUCUCCACAACGCCAUCAGACUCUGCCGAGGCCUAUAAAAAGUGUGCAGCGCUCUAUGUCGGACCCUAAACCUCUCAGCCCAACAUCAGAGGAUCCGGGCAAGAACCGUUUCUCCCCGUAUCACCAAGUUUUGUCCAACAGUCAGAUGGCCUCCCUGCAGCAGCAGCAGAACGCUCUGAUGAGGAAAGUAAAGAGGACUCUCCCCAGCCCCCCUCCAGAGGAAGCUCCGCUCCCCAUUGUUACCCCAGCACAAAUGUACAGCUCCCCUGGCAUGCCUCAGAGGGUGCAUCCAAGACCAAGCCAAGGAGUCACCAAGGCUGGCCUGUUGAGUGAAUUAAAAGCAGUGGAGCAAGAGUCGUCAAAGCUCCGCAAGCAGCAGGCCGAACUAGAAGAAGAAGAAAAAGAGAUUGAUGCCAAGCUACGCUAUUUGGAGCUGGGCAUUACGCAACGUAAGGAGACCAUGGUGAAGGAGAGGGAGAGGAGAGAGUUAGCCUAUUUGCGAUGUAUGGGUGAUGCACGAGACUAUAUGUCAGACAGUGAACUCAAUAAUCUUCGGAUGGCUGCUGCAACAGGAACCUAUGAUGCUAAUGGUUUACUGACAAGACCUAGUACAGCACCACUGAGUCAGUUUAGUAAUGAGCUCAAUGCAGCAUCCCAGUAUCCCCCAACCUCCUCCUAUAUGCCAUAUCCAUACCCUCAAAGUCAACCUUCAACACAGCAGCCUGGUUCUGCUUACCAGCCAAUAGGUUUCCAAACUCCUCAAUACCCUUCAUCUUCUGCACCACAGCCUGGAACAUUCCAACCCCAUCCUCCAACAGUUCCUGGGUACCAAAACCAGGGAACCUAUUCCUCCCGCAUGUAUGGACAGCCUUCCUAUCAAACUGAUUUCACAAUGCAGCAACAUGGUCACCAGGGCUUCCAUUCACCCGGUCAGCCAAUGCCAGGACAGAGCCUUCCUUAUCCUAGUCACAGUUCCUACCAGCCUGGCCUCACCUACCAGCCACAGGCAGAAAUCCUUACCGUCCAUCAAAGACCAAGGCAAACUUCUUUGGCUGACCUUGAACAAAAACUUCCCACCAAUUAUGAAGUCAUUAGCAACCCAGCAGUCUCAGUGGCCACAUCUGCUCCAGAUGCCAACUAUGGACCAGUUUACAGCAAUGCAUAUGGACAAUAUCGCCCCCCUGAGCCUGGCCUAACUCACUCUGUGGAUAGUCCCACCUCUGCUUACACGUCAGAUGGUCUCUACACAUCCAACCUGGAGCAGAACAUUCCAAGGAAUUAUGUAAUGAUUGAUGACAUCAGUGAGUUGACAAAAGACAACACAGGUCAGCCCACCGAUGCGCUUGGUCAUCCUGUGGGAGGACGGUAUCGCAGUGAGAAUGGCUCUGCAAGAGGAACUGGCUAUGAGGAGCCUGUUGAUGCUUAUGGAAGACCGACAGGAUCAGCUGGUUAUCAAAGCACAGCAGACAGUCGCACCAGCACUACAGUGAGUGGCGGCUCCUCUUAUUACUAUGAUGAUUAUAAACAUUCCUCUCGCUCUGGUGGCCACAAAAUCUCGUCCAAAAAUCUUGCUCCUGCUGUAGUCUCCUCUAAACGUAGUAAGCACAGGAAACAGGGAAUGGAGCAAAAGAUUUCCAAAUUUUCCCCUAUUGAGGAAGCUCGGGAUGUAGAGUCAGACCUUGCUUCAUACACAAUGACAUCAACUGCUGGCACCUGUCCAGUUGGGUCAAGAUCUAAAAAGCUUCAAGAUGAUGUCACUUAUGGCAUGAAGAAAAACACAUAUGAUCAACAGAAAUAUUACGGCACCAGUCAUGAGGGUCUUGAAGAGGACGACCGCAUGUACAGCUCUGGAAGGUCCAGAUCCACUGGUUAUGGUAUGGAUAAGAUUUCGUCUAGAGACGCUCCUGGUCACCGCAGCAAAUCGUACGAGAGAGAUGCCAUGGAGCGAUCUCAUAGAAGCAGCCGCAGUGGACGUCCUCCAAUGCGAACUCAGAAUUCAGAAGAGGAGAGCCCACUUAGUCCUGUUGGGAAGCCUGUAGGUAUGGGAAGAACGUCUGCAAUGUCAGAGGCUCACGAUGUGAGAAACCAGUACGGUUCCAGCCAUUCGCUGCCAGACGUGCAAGACCACCACAAGAAGGAACUUCCCAGAAGUCACGUCUAUAAACCAGAUGAUCCUUAUCUCGUAGAUGACAUGCACUGUGCUGUUUCUGAUAGUGAAGCCUAUCAUUUGGGCCAAGAGGAGACUGAUUGGUUUGAGAAACCACGGGAGGCUCGCUCUGAUCGCUCAAGACAUCAUGGGAGCGGCGGUCACUCCUCCACAGGGAGACGUAGUAAACACGCCUACCAUGAUUAUGAAGAGCCUCCAGAGGAAUACUCUCAGCCAGAUGAGUACAACCAGCGCCACCCUUCUUCUUUGUCACGUGACCACCGCCACCAUGGCAGCAGCUCUGGUAGACACAGUUCUGCUCGCCACUCUUCGGAGGACCCCAAGACUUCACGCUCUUCUAGGACCCACCCUAAAGACCAAUCUGGUCGCACUGAUGGCAGGGUCUCCUCAUCCACGCAGAGAAGGAGUGGUACAGACCCUCGCUCUGCCCACGGAAGCCCACGCAACUCAGGAGACUUCUCUCGUGAGUCUGCCUCUGGUCAUCACCACGGCACUGGUGGUCGGACCCAGAGAUCUCAAGGUGAUCGCACAGCCGGCAGGAGACAAGAUCCUUCUAAGCCACAGAACCAGCAGCCACCUCAAGGACAUGCUGGGCAGCAGCGAUCAGAGGGUCAGGGGCAGACGGGAAGACAUUCAGGUUCUGAACAACUUGACGGUAGCCAGCAGACUCCGCAGCAGCAGCAGCAGCAACAGCAGCAGCAACAGCAGCAGCAGCAGCAGCAGCAUCAUCAGCAGCAGCAGCAGCAGCAUCAACACAGUGUGCAACAACAACAACAGCAGCCGCCGCAGCACAAUCAGGCCCCCCAAAGUAGCCAGCCACCCACCAACGCUGGAACUGGACAUGCACAGCAGCAGCAGCAGCAGCAGCAAGCCAAACCUGGACAAGCUCCAUCACAGGGACGUCAACCAGGAAUCGGGUCUGCAGCAGGGCAGCUGGCCACAGCGGGAAAAAUGGAUGUCACACCUGCUGCUGCUACUGUUGGCCCAGGAAUGAAACCUGCAGCAGGAAUUGCAGCAGCACCUCAGCCAACCAAAAUAGCCACACCACCUCUAACUGGCAUUGGCUCCAAGGCGGCUCCUGUUGGAAUUGGCAGCAAGCCUGUAGGGAUAGGAAGCGCUGCAGCAGGUCAGGCCCCGGGUCCUGAAGGAGAUAAUGUUCUUACCAAAAUUCUGCAGGGAGGAGCAGCAGAGCAGGCAGGAAAACUGGGAGAUGCUUUGACUGGGCUUGGGAAAAAGUUCACCUCAUUCUGGUGAACUAAAAGGAGACCAGGAGUACAGGAAUGAACUGAGACGGACUGGUUGCUUUGUCCCGGAAAACCUAUGAAACCAUCUUACAUAAUAUUUUACAUCCACCAGGAAAAAGAAGAAUGAUCCUGAAUGCAUCAGUCUGUAAUGAGGACGAGGUGAAGUGGAGGGAGAAAGCAACGCUGCUUUCUUUCAUCCUGCAGAGAAGUGCUUCUGCAUGGACCUUGUGAGAAAGCAGUGGUCUUCACUAACAGAGGCAAGCGGUUGGGGGGUUUAUCGGACAAGCCGCCCAUGCAUGCAUGUCUCUGUGAUGCAGCUCUGGAAAAGAAGCCUCACAGCGCCCUCUGCAGAGAUUUUAUUGCAACACCACUUGCCUCCAAGGAACCAAGGUUGCAAUAGGAUUUUUGAUUCUACAUUGAUGCUUUAGGAGCAUUCUCCAAAAAAAAUAAAAAAAUAAAUAAAAAUAAAGGUUGGAUUGCAUAGGUUUUCCUUGUCUCAAAGAAACCAGUCUCACCCUAUGAUGACAACAUGCACCUGGAACCGACGAAGCUUUUAACAGCAACACCAGUUUCGAGGACUUUGAUUCUAUCAAAGUCCUCGAAAUGCUUCACCACAGUACAUUCCAGUAAAGGGAGCUUGACCAGUUCUCUGAAUGUGUUUUUCAUUUCUCGUCUCUUUGUUAUGCCGUCUACACAAUGCAUUGUGUAAAUGUGGACACAAAAAUGCACGUACAAAUAGGGGGAGGAAAAAAAAUGAAAAAAAAAAAAAAAAUCUGGAAAAUACAAGCCCAUAUCUGUUCCUUUUUUCACCACUUAUGUAAGAUGCCGCUACUCGUUAGGUGUUGGUUUUUUUAAAGGAAGGGACUUAACUACCGGCGUGCCCAUACGUGUGAGACACACAGACGAGAGGACCAAAUGAAAGAGUGGCCACGGCUCUUUAUCAGCCAUCGCUAAGCCAUCGUUACAGACAUCCUUUUUUUUAAUUGAUUUGUCUCAUCUUUUGUUGAUUUUUUUUUUUAAAUUUCCUUUUCUUGUUCUUGUUUUGCCUGAUAAUGAAUGAAAGAGCCUUAUUCACUUAUGGUUUUACUUGUAUACCUCAUGUUUUAAGAUGUCCACAUCAUAAUGAAUUUUUUUUUACACUGUAUACUAUUGUAUGUACAUAAAACAAAUCAGAGAUCUAUGAUGUAAAUUUGUCAUUUGUGUAUUUAAUGAGUCACUCUCCAGUGAAUUUCAUUUUUUUGUUGCUCUGUGUUUUUUUUGUAAAACUUUAUAUUUUCACUUUGUAUUUGUUUGAAUCUGUUAUUACAUCAAAUGAUUUGCGUUUUUGCUUGGUUUUUAAAAGCAAUAGCAUGCAGCAAAUGGUAUAUAGCACAAUAGGAUAAAUGUUUGUUUUUCUUUCAAUUAUUGAUGGGGGGAUAUCAAAUAAAAGGCAGUAAUAAGAUCUGUCAGAGGGUUUACAGCCACAGCACCACAUGUACAGACAUGCAUGAUAAUGUUCGGAUGCGUAAGAGCAUGCUGACAGGUGGACACACUCUAUAUAUUUAUCUGUUACAAGCUCACACACACACACACACACACCUUGCACAUGUUGCAAUCCCAGUUCCACUUCAGAGCCAAGGCUAAUUGAGUUUUCACCAAAUAGACUUGUUAACCUCCCGCUGAUUAAUGAGGUUACCAAUCCACUAACAAGCUGGGCCCACUGCCUCCGUUUCUGCAAGACACACAACAGAACAACACAGAUACAGGAGAGGAUGAAAAGCAAUUAUCAAAGUCAAACGUUCUAUGCAAUGACUCAUUUUGAAACGUGGAAGUGAUUCACUCGAAAGCGGUUUAUCACCAUCGCUGUAUUCACAACAAAACAUUAGAAUCAUGAACAACAACAACAACAAAAAAAAAAGGUUAAAAAAAACUUGAACUGAAAAUGUUUUUACUUGGAAUCUUGUCUGUAUGAAUUUGAAUACUGAGUAUUGAUCUAGACUUGUUUUUAUUUUCGCGGCAUGUUCUUAACCCUCUCUCUCUCCCCACACAGUGGGGAAAGGCGGGGACUCGUUGCCAAAGGGUAAACUUGUGUAGACUGUCGGUUUUAUGAAUGUCCACCAUCAUGUUGCUUUUGAAGCAUGGGGUAUUGCUUGGCUUCAUUUGGCUGUUGUUUUUUUUUUUAAUUAGUUGUUUUUUGUAAGCCCUCAUUCAGUCAUUGUGCAUUUUGGCUGACCUGUUUGGCUUGCAGUGACUGUCUGUGCUGCUAUGAACCUGUAACGCAGAUGGUCGAGCACUUCUCAUCAAUUUGUGUCAGUGUACAUAUUGGGUGUCAGUAUAACUUGUGGGGUGAAUGGAAUGUUUAUAUUGGAUAUACGUCAUUGUUGACUCAACCCACUACAGCCAAGCCAUGUGAAAGGUGCAUGAUUAGAUUAUUCUUGGACGUUGUCGUAGAAAUAAUGAUUAAAAAAAAAGAAAAAAGAAAAGUGAGGCAUGAUUUUUAAGAACUUGACUCUAAGUCUAACCGGCCAAUGAUGAGAAUAUCAGUGAGUUAAAUUGUUUAGCCAGUCAUUCACAAAUCAGGGCAUGUCAUUUGGAAAGCACAAGCCUGACUGGUGGUGCUCGCUGCUCAGCGGAGCACAGGAGCAAAGGUUGCGUAACGGCGCCUCUCUUAAGAUGUGCGGCAGAACCAAGCGGAGGUGCAGUGUGGUCGAUACGAGAUGAAAACAGCCUUCAGGCAGACGGACACAUUCUCACAUUCCUUACUGUAAAUACAACCUCAUUCCUCUGUACAGCUUUUCAGUUUGGAGUACGGCUGUCAUGUGCAUCCCCAUGCCGUAUUUGCUGCCAACUUUUGUGUAUAAAAUAUUUAUUAUGACCACAAUAAGGAUGAUGAUGAUGAUGAUGAUGAUGAUGAAGAAACCUAUAAUGAUGGUUAUUAUUAUUGUUAUUAUUAUUAUUGCAUAAGCCUAGUGAAUGUGGCUAACUUGUACUGACUCUUUACAACAGUGGAACAAAACUCAUGCACAUAUCCAUCCAUCCAGUGCGUGUAGAGUUUCUCUACAUAUUGUACUAAGAAAACCUGCAGCAGGAAGCCCUUUAUCAGGCAAAAACAGAAGGUUAUCAGUUUUUAUGGAUACGAUCUGCGAGCUGAGACAUGGGGGAGAAAAAAAAGAAACUACAAAUCUGGAAAAUGUCAUUCACUGUUGUAAGUGCAAUGGGCAAAAUGUCAAUCGUGUAUCCAUUGUGAAACCCUUGUGUUUUAUUCAGUGUAUUCCUGUAAACAGAUAGAGUACAUUUUGGUGCAUCAUGUCAAGUAAUGUGAAAAUAUUGACCCUGCAAUUUCCAAACGGAGAAACGAAUAAAAAGAAAAAAAAGUUUA